UACGAAGGGGGCUAGCGUUGUUCGGAAUUACUGGGCGUAAAGCGCGCGCAGGCGGUCUUCCAAGUCAGUGGUGAAAGCCCGGAGCUCAGCUCCGGAACUGCCAUUGAAACUGUAAGACUUGAGGAUGAGAGAGGUGAGUGGAAUUCCCAGUGUAGAGGUGAAAUUCGUAGAUAUUGGGAAGAACACCGGUGGCGAAGGCGGCUCACUGGCUCAUAUCUGACGCUCAGGCGCGACAGCGUGGGGAUCAAACAGG
rnacentral:rRNA from 1 species